UGUUUAAUUAGUAUAAAUAGUACAAUUAAUUUCCAAUUAAUAAGUUUUUUAAAAAUUGAACAA
rnacentral:tRNA from 1 species